AGAUUGAACGCUGGCGGAAUGCUUUACCCAUGCAAGUCGAACGGCAGCACGGGACUCAGGCAACUGAGCCCUGGUGGCGAGUGGCGAACGGGUGAGUAACAUAUCGGAACGUACCCAGUCGUGGGGGAUAACUCUCCGAAAGGAGAGCUAAUACCGCAUACGUCCUGAGGGAGAAAGCGGGGGACCUAAGGGUAACUGAGGGCCUCGCGCGAUUGGAGCGGCCGAUAUCGGAUUAGCUAGUUGGUGAGGUAAAGGCUCACCAAGGCGACGAUCCGUAGCGGGUCUGAGAGGACGACCGCCACACUGGAACUGAGACACGGUCCGGACUCCUACGGGAGGCAGCAGUGGGGAAUUUGGACAAUGGGGGCAACCCUGAUCCAGCCAUUCCGCGUGAGUGAAGAGCCUUAGGGUGUAAAGCUCUUUACCCGAGAUGAUAAUGACA
rnacentral:rRNA from 1 species